rnacentral:lncRNA from 10 species
AAAUGAUUCAUCCUCCAAAAGAAAAUUUGGAUUUAAUUUCAUAAGAAAACUGAAUGUUGGCUGUGUUCACAUUCUGGAUCUUAAGUACUGUGCCUCACCAGGAUAUCCUCUAGAAGAGAGCAAGCUUUGAAGUUCACAAAAUUUGAUUCAACAUCGGCAUAUCAACCUGACUUCAAAGGGAUUUACACUGCUGAAGAAUUUCACUGAGUUCAAGAAAGAAAGGAGAAUCUAAACUUUCUGUGAAAUCUAACUUCAGAGUGCCUGGUAACUUCAACGAAAUCAGAUACAUUUGGGUAUCAAAAACAGCUCAAUUCACACAGAAUAUUUCUUUUUAAUUGUCUGUUUGUUUAAUAUUUAUUGCAAUGUAACAAUAGAAAAACAAAAAGUUAGGAGUUUAGUGUUUGGGGGGAUAAAGCUUUCCUAAACAUAUAUUUAAUUUUAAGUAAGAAAUAAUAUUGAUAUAAAUGUUUUCUUUCCUGCCCAUUCAUAUGUGCACUGGUUUAUCAAUCUCAUUUUUACUUUCCCUACAAAACUUUCCCUAAAAUUCCACUUAUUUUUUAUGAGCAUGCUUGAUUUCAUUUAGCAUUUAUUGCAUUUAAUGUUUAUUUCAUUUCUUUCACUUAAGUUUAACACUUACAUUUCCAGAGUCAAAAUUACUUUCAGGUUUCCAUCAGUGUGUCCUGCACUUUAAUUCUACUCUUUUUUGUGGUCAUGGCAUUCUCUUCCCAUUCCUACCUUCCUCCAACCCAACCCAUUAUAGUAUUUUCAAAAUUUAUAGCUAUGGAAGUGCUACUUAUUCUAUAAGGCCCAUUUGAAUAUUCCGUCUAUUUUCAGUGUCUCUUGCUAUGUCCAAGACUACAUGUUUUAUUACCUUCACAUUUAUCUGUGUGAAUGAAUGACUAUAAUUCAUUUCUACCUCCCAUUACUUCUUCUCUCUGGUUUAAUUGAAGAAAAAAUUAUUUAAUUAUUUUGAGUAAAACUAUUAAAUUGAAUAAUUGCAACCCCCCCCCCAUUAUAUGUAACAUAUACACAGGAUGAGUAGAAAUUGAUGAGACUAAAUUUAUAAUUCCUAAGUCAGACCUCUUAAACGGUUAACAAUAUACAAUUAAUAACAAUGCGUAUACUUUAUAAACUCUCAUAGCAAUUCUAUUGAUUUUCAGAUUUGAAUAAAUGAGGUAUUUCAAAAGGUAUUACUCUGUGGGAAGUUUAAGAAAUUGAUAGCCAGUAACAGAUAUUUUAAUGAUAACUACAUUUUAUUCAGCUAUUUUUGCAGGUGAAGAUGUGUGCUAACCUGUAAGGAAUGGUAUUAUUAUCUGCAUUUUGUUAAUGAGUACAUUAAGCUUUGGAGAGAUUAAAUCACUCACCCAUGAUCACGCAGAGUCAAAUCUAGGUCUUCUCUCUCCAGAGCAAAAGCCAACCUAAUAAAAUUACUAGAAGUUAGAACUGAAAGGUAACUUAGAAAUCAUUUCUUCCUUACCUCUCAUCUUACAAAUGAAGAAAUUGAGACAAAAAUAGUUUCCUGCCCAAAGUUGCCAAGCUCUUGGACAAAACUCACUCUACCCUUGCCACCUCAACCUGUAAUAACUGCAGUGAGCAAGUGGAGCUAAGAAUUUCUGUUAAGUAUAAAAACCGGAAUGCACAGAUAGAUUUAUUUCACUUCCCUAGUAGAGAACAAUACUAAGCUGGAAAAAGAUAUGCAAAAUAUCACCCCUGGUGCCCUCUUUUACAGUCAGGAGAGAUCCAGAGUGUAUACCUCCUUUUAACACUUUAAAGGUCACAGCCUCCUGGCUGCUUAUUUCUGGAAGCUGAUAAAUCCACCUUCACUGAGAGUGGAACUCCAGAUCUCUUUUUGGCCCUAACUUAAUCCAGGAAAAGGCAAGAUCUUAGAAACUGUGGGCUGGAUUAUUCUUGAUUUGGGGCGGAACAGACAUGCUGCCUAUGUUGAUUCUUCACCUUUGUUGAUGAAGUUUAAAAGUUUUAGUGAAGCCAUUUGUGACUCCUGAGGGUCAAAGCUUCCUCACAUAAAGGGUAGUGUAUAAGACCUAGAGGAAAUAUUAUAUUAAUUCUGGUCCUGGGUGUGACUUUGUCUGGAAAAGAACAAAUUGCUUACAAGUGCACUCACACCUCUUUCUGUCUUCCAUGGCUGUUUCUGAGACUUCCUAACAUCGUGCUGUUCAUUAAAAAUAUAUAUAUACCUUUACAUCGUAAACAAUUUUGAACCUGCUUAAUAAAAUGUAGAACUGAGAAAAUUAAAACAUUUACUUCAUUCUAGAUGGUCAUUUUUUAAUAGGUUAGGUGGUUUUAUUGGUGCUUUUGAUGAUAUGGAAGCAAAAGAUAAAAAAGAUACAGUCCCUGCCCAUGAUGGCUUAAAUUUCAGUGGGAGAGACAAAUAAAUGCACAAGUAGAGUAUUUCUAUAUAAUGUGGUAACUUGCACAAAAAUCACUUUACUUUGGAACACAAAUAAAACAAAAAUUAAUGUAUAGUACUACUUUUAAAAUAAAAUAUAGACAUCUAAAUAAAAUUGUUAAAGUAAAAUGGAUAACAAUCAAUUCAAUAAAUAAGAUCAUAAUUUGGAUAUGCUUUUGGAAAAACAUGCACACACAAUAGGGCUAAUUAAGCUGUUUAUCUCAGAAAUUUUACACUCUAAAAUGUUUACAUAAAACUAGCAGUAGCAGAGAUGGUUAACUGAUUACCAAACAUGUUUCUUUUCUAUUGGGAGCAUAGCUCUGCUAAAUUUUUCUUCCUUUGUUUCUGUUAGGCUUGACAGUGAUUGAGUUUUAUCCAGUAGAAUGUGAGUAGAAAUUAUAAAUACCUCUUUCGCAUAUAACCAUCAAAACCUCCAGUGUAUACAUUCUACAUGUGCUUUCCCCUCUCAGCUUGGUGCAGAUGAGCAUAAUGACUGGGGGAAUAGGGGAGCCAUUGCUGGGAAGACUUGUGUCCCUCAGUCAGUAAGUAGAGGUGAAUCCCUCAAUGACCAGGGACAUAUUUUCAUGGCUGUUAAGUGAGCAAAAAAUGACCUUAAAUAUUGGUUGGGUCAUUAUAAUUUGGGGGUUCAGGUGACAUUCUACUAAUAUGCCAGCCCUUCAGAAGAAGUGAAAUAUAAACACUACUCUCACCUUUUUUUAAAAUCACACAGGGGUUAAUUGAGCUUGAUUUAUGAAGUCACAGGAUUUUAGAGCACAGAUUGUAGAGAAUAAUAGCCAUAGAAUAUUAGGCAUAAUUUAGUCAAACAGCCUCAUUUUAACGAGGAAAUUGAUUUAAAUUACCAAGAGUAAUUUGAAUCCCUUCUCUUUGUUCCCACAUCUCUAAGAUUGAUAACUGUUCCUACGGUAGCUACUUUUCUUUUCUCUUCUUAUAUUUCAGUUGUCUCAUUAUGAAUUUUGUACCUAGUUAAUA